rnacentral:rRNA from 1 species
UACGUAGGGUGCAAGCGUUGUCCGGAAUUAUUGGGCGUAAAGAGCUCGUAGGCGGUUUGUCGCGUCGGCUGUGAAAACCUGGGGCUCAACCCCGGGCCUGCAGCCGAUACGGGCAAACUAGAAUUCGGUAGGGGAGACUGGAAUUCCUGGUGUAGCGGUGAAAUGCGCAGAUAUCAGGAAGAACACCCGUGGCGAAGGCGGCUCUCUGGGACGGUACUGACGCUGAGACGCGAAAGCGUGGGGAGCGAACAGG